GACGAACGCUGGCGGCGUGCUUAACACAUGCAAGUCGAACGGAAAGGCCCUGCUUUUGUGGGGUGCUCGAGUGGCGAACGGGUGAGUAACACGUGAGUAACCUGCCCUUGACUUUGGGAUAACUUCAGGAAACUGGGGCUAAUACCGGAUAGGAGCUCCUGCUGCAUGGUGGGGGUUGGAAAGUUUCGGCGGUUGGGGAUGGACUCGCGGCUUAUCAGCUUGUUGGUGGGGUAGUGGCUUACCAAGGCUUUGACGGGUAGCCGGCCUGAGAGGGUGACCGGCCACAUUGGGACUGAGAUACGGCCCAGACUCCUACGGUAGGCAGCAGUGGGGAAUAUUGCACAAUGGGCGGAAGCCUGAUGCAGCAACGCCGCGUGCGGGAUGACGGCCUGCGGGUUGUAAACCGCUUUCGCCUGUGACGAAGCGUGAGUGACGGUAAUGGGUAAAGAAGCACCGGCUAACUACGUG
rnacentral:rRNA from 1 species